ensembl:miRNA
AUAUACACUAUAUGAUGUAUAAAUGUAUACACACUUCCUGUAUCUCCAUGUAUACAGUGUAUAUAUUAUACAUGUAUAGGUGUGUAUAUG